GCCCUGAUNGUAUAAACAUUACACUGGUCUUGUAAACCAGAA
rnacentral:tRNA from 1 species